AUUGAACGCUGGCGGCAUGCCUUACACAUGCAAGUCGAACGGUAACAGGUCUUCGGAUGCUGACGAGUGGCGAACGGGUGAGUAAUACAUCGGAACGUGCCCAGACGUGGGGGAUAACGAGGCGAAAGCUUUGCUAAUACCGCAUACGAUCUAAGGAUGAAAGCAGGGGACCGCAAGGCCUUGCGCGUUUGGAGCGGCCGAUGGCAGAUUAGGUAGUUGGUGGGAUAAAAGCUUACCAAGCCGACGAUCUGUAGCUGGUCUGAGAGGACGACCAGCCACACUGGAACUGAGACACGGCCCAGACUCCUACGGGAGGCAGCAGUGGGGAAUUUUGGACAAUGGGCGAAAGCCUGAUCCAGCAAUGCCGCGUGCGGGAUGAAGGCCUUCGGGUUGUAAACUGCUUUUGUACGGAACGAAAAGGCUCUGGCUAAUACCUGGGGGACAUGACGGUACCGAAAGAAUAAGCACCGGCUAACUACGUG
rnacentral:rRNA from 1 species